AGAGUUUGAUCCUGGCUCAGGACGAACGCUGGCGGCGCGCCUAACACAUGCAAGUCGAGCGAGAACCAGGGGCUUCGGCCCUUGGGGACAGCGGCGAACGGGUGAGUAACACGUGGAUAACCUGCCCUCGGCACCGGAAUAGCCCGGGGAAACUCGGAUUAAUGCCGGAUAGCCCCACAUCCCUGCGGGGAACGUGGGAAAAGGUAGCUUCGGCCUCUGGCCGGGGAUGGGUCCGCGGUGGAUUAGCUUGUUGGCGGGGUAACGGCCCACCAAGGCGACGAUCCAUAGCUGGUCUGAGAGGACGAUCAGCCACACUGGGACUGAGACACGGCCCAGACUCCUACGGGAGGCAGCAGUGGGGAAUCUUGCGCAAUGGGCGAAAGCCUGACGCAGCGACGCCGCGUGCGGGAAGAAGGCCUUCGGGUUGUAAACCGCUUUCAGGAGGGACGAAGCCACUCGGGUGAACAGCCCAGAGGGUGACGGUACCUCCAGAAGAAGCCCCGGCUAACUACGUGCCAGCAGCCGCGGUA
rnacentral:rRNA from 1 species